rnacentral:rRNA from 1 species
AUUGAACGCUGGCGGCAGGCUUAACACAUGCAAGUCGAGCGGGGUGAUGGUGCUUGCACUAUCACUUAGCGGCGGACGGGUGAGUAAUGCUUAGGAAUCUGCCUAUUAGUGGGGGACAGCAUCUCGAAAGGGAUGCUAAUACCGCAUACGUCCUACGGGAGAAAGCAGGGGAUCACUUGUGACCUUGCGCUAAUAGAUGAGCCUAAGUCGGAUUAGCUAGUUGGUGGGGUAAAGGCCUACCAAGGCGACGAUCUGUAGCGGGUCUGAGAGGAUGGUCCGCCACACUGGGACUGAGACACGGCCCAGAAUCCUACGGGAGGCAGCAGUGGGGAAUAUUGGACAAUGGGGGGAACCCUGAUCCAGCCAUGCCGCGUGUGCGAAGAAGGCCUUAUGGUUGUAAAGCACUUUAAGCGAGGAGGAGGCUCUUUUGGUUAAUACCCAAGAUGAGUGGACGUUACUCGCAGAAUAAGCACCGGCUAACUCUGUGCCAGCCGCCGCCGUAA